AGCAUUCAAACAUUCCCAAUUACC
rnacentral:miRNA from 1 species